AUUGAACGCUGGCGGCAUGCCUUACACAUGCAAGUCGAACGGCAGCACGGACUUCGGUCUGGUGGCGAGUGGCGAACGGGUGAGUAAUGUAUCGGAACGUACCUUUCAGUGGGGGAUAACGUAGCGAAAGUUACGCUAAUACCGCAUAUUCUGUGAGCAGGAAAGCAGGGGAUCGCAAGACCUUGCGCUGAUUGAGCGGCCGAUAUCAGAUUAGCUAGUUGGUGGGGUAAAGGCCUACCAAGGCUACGAUCUGUAGCGGGUCUGAGAGGAUGAUCCGCCACACUGGAACUGAGACACGGUCCAGACUCCUACGGGAGGCAGCAGUGGGGAAUUUUGGACAAUGGGGGCAACCCUGAUCCAGCCAUGCCGCGUGAGUGAAGAAGGCCUUCGGGUUGUAAAGCUCUUUCGGCCGGGAAGAAAUCGCAUCAGCUAAUACCUGGUGUGGAUGACGGUACCGGAAUAAGAAGCACCGGCUAACUACGUGCCAGCAGCCGCGGUAAUACGUAGGGUGCGAGCGUUAAUCGGAAUUACUGGGCGUAAAGCGUGCGCAGGCGGUUGUGUAAGACAGGCGUGAAAUCCCCGGGCUCAACCUGGGAACUGCGCUUGUGACUGCACAGCUAGAGUACGGCAGAGGGGGGUGGAAUUCCACGUGUAGCAGUGAAAUGCGUAGAGAUGUGGAGGAACACCGAUGGCGAAGGCAGCCCCCUGGGCCGAUACUGACGCUCAUGCACGAGAGCGUGGGUAGCAAACAGGAUUAGAUACCCUGGUAGUCCACGCCCUAAACGAUGUCAACUAGGUGUUGGGUGGGUAAAACCAUUUAGUACCGUAGCUAACGCGUGAAGUUGACCGCCUGGGGAGUACGGCCGCAAGGUUAAAACUCAAAGGAAUUGACGGGGACCCGCACAAGCGGUGGAUGAUGUGGAUUAAUUCGAUGCAACGCGAAAAACCUUACCUACCCUUGACAUGUCCAGAAGCCCGGAGAGAUUUGGGUGUGCCCGAAAGGGAACUGGAACACAGGUGCUGCAUGGCUGUCGUCAGCUCGUGUCGUGAGAUGUUGGGUUAAGUCCCGCAACGAGCGCAACCCUUGUCGUUAAUUGCCAUCAUUUAGUUGGGCACUUUAACGAGACUGCCGGUGACAGACCGGAGGAAGGUGGGGAUGACGUCAAGUCCUCAUGGCCCUUAUGGGUAGGGCUUCACACGUCAUACAAUGGUCGGUACAGAGGGUUGCCAAGCCGCGAGGUGGAGCCAAUCCCAGAAAGCCGAUCGUAGUCCGGAUUGCAGGCUGCAACUCGCCUGCAUGAAGUCGGAAUCGCUAGUAAUCGCGGAUCAGCAUGUCGCGGUGAAUACGUUCCCGGGUCU
rnacentral:rRNA from 1 species